ensembl:lincRNA
AAUUAAGAGCUACAUAUAUUAUAUUCAUCAGCAAUGGUUUGGUUGCAAGUGACAAAAAUUCCACUUAAAUUACUAUAGGCUGGAAGCAACAUUUGUUAGAAGACAUAUAACCAUGGCUAGGCUUCAGUGAAGAUAAGAGCAAAACUGAUAUGCUGCCAGAACUAGCUUGGUCUCAUGCCUUUCUCUAAAUUUCUGUCUCUACAGAUCUGAUCCUCCAUGGAGGAUACUCCAAGGACAAAACGUCACUGAUGACAACCUGAAAGCCUCCCAGGUCCUCUACCAGAGGUUCACAAGUUGGAGAUUCAGUUGUUCCAGGGAUCUGCCUAGCCACAGUCUAAAGGAGUGUGCACAACAAUACGAUGUCUUCUCAAAAAAAGAGAUUGCUGAGAUUGCUGGAUGGUAUAUUUACGUGGGUGAGCCUAAGAGCACUGUUAUUUUGAGAAGAGAGCAGACAAUGUAA